rnacentral:tRNA from 7 species
GCGGAAUUAGCUCAGCUGGAUAGAGCGUCGGUCUACGAAACCGAAGGUCGCAGGUUCGACUCCUGCAUUCCGCGCCA